AAUGAACGCUGGCGGCGCGCCUAAUACAUGCAAGUCGAGCGAGAAGACGUAGCAAUACGUUUGUAAAGCGGCGAACGGGUGAGGAAUACAUGGGUAACCUACCCUCGAGUGGGGAAUAACUAGCCGAAAGGUUAGCUAAUACCGCGUACGCUUCUUGGACUUCGGUUCAGGGAGGAAAGCGAUGCCGAGGGUAUCGCGCUCUUGGAUGGGCUCAUGUCCUAUCAGCUUGNGGUGAGGUAACGGCUCACCAAGGCUUCGACGGGUAGCUGGUCUGAGAGGACGAUCAGCCACACUGGCACUGCGACACGGGCCAGACUCCUACGGGAGGCAGCAGUAAGGAAUAUUGCGCAAUGGGCGAAAGCCUGACGCAGCGACGCCGCGUGGGGGAUGG
rnacentral:rRNA from 1 species